rnacentral:sRNA from 1 species
GAUAAUAUAAAUAUAAAUUUAAGAGAAUAACUUACUCAAAUCAUUAAGUAAUCAACGACUAUUAUAUACUCAUACUUUAAGUUUAGAUUACAAAAAAAAAAAUAUUCGAAUAUGAGAAAACUAUUAAAAUGGUUUUAUUGAAAAAUCAUGUAAUAUUAAAAUAAAUUUAGUAAUAUUAAAAUUAAAUAAUAAAUAUAUCAUUAUCCUAUACAUUAGAAGUUCAAGAGCUUACAUUAAUUAUUUAAAAGACACAUGACAAAUGCUAAAGUGAUGAUGUGUCAAUCAUAUGGAGAGAGUUGGUCAACUUUCAUAUAUAUGAUAUGUGUUGUCUUAAGUUUGGUUUAGUAUCACAAACUCCUUUUUGUUUCACCUCUUUCUUUUCGUCAUCAUGGCGGAUGAGUUAUGGGAUGAGUUACAACAUUAAGAGUUAGGAAGGGAAGAUCCAGCUCUGUUUAUUCUGCAUGCAGCUUAUGCAACUGUUAAAUCUUGGAAUAGGCUUAGCUUGAUUGUUAGGCCUCUUAAUCUUCGCUCUCAAAACCUCAACGUUGUGAUUGAUGCUUUACCAAGAUCAUGGGGUCUGACUUCUAGAGUUUAUGAAAGAGUGCUUUAUACAACUUUUGUUCAAUUUCUCUUUCAGUCUGAGGUU